rnacentral:rRNA from 1 species
AUUGAACGCUGGCGGCAUGCCUUACACAUGCAAGUCGAACGGCAGCACGGGAGCAAUCCUGGUGGCGAGUGGCGAACGGGUGAGUAAUAUAUCGGAACGUGCCCAGUAGUGGGGGAUAACUGCUCGAAAGAGCAGCUAAUACCGCAUACGACCUGAGGGUGAAAGCGGGGGAUCGCAAGACCUCGCGCUAUUGGAGCGGCCGAUAUCAGAUUAGCCAGUUGGUGAGGUAAGGGCCCACCAAGGCGACGAUCUGUAGCUGGUCUGAGAGGACGACCAGCCACACUGGGACUGAGACACGGCCCAGACUCCUACGGGAGGCAGCAGUGGGGAAUUUUGGACAAUGGGCGCAAGCCUGAUCCAGCCAUGCCGCGUGCGGGAAGAAGGCCUUCGGGUUGUAAACCGCUUUUGUCAGGGAAGAAACGGCUCCUACUAAUACUGGGGGCUAAUGACGGUACCUGAAGAAUAAGCACCGGCUAACUACGUGCCAGCAGCCGCCGCAG